CAGAAAAUCAAUAAAAGCCAGAGCUUGCAAUUUAUUAACAAAUAUGUCUUGCAGAUACUUCUAAAAUUUAUUGGAUAUCUUGAUAAGUCAUCAUAACAUAAUAUCCAAAUGAGUACAAGCACCUGCAAUUUAUUAACUACUACGUCUUCCACAAUCUUCUAAAAUUUACUGGAUAUCUUGAUGAAUCAUCAAAACAUAAUGCCAUGUCAUACAACCAUAGAUCACAGACUUGGAUCAAAGAAGGUGGAGCCAAAGAGGUACUUAAUAAGACAACUGACCAAAUCACUGGACAGAUAACUUGACAACAAGAAAAAGAAGUCUACCUGUUAGGCAUAUGCGGCAUAUGCAUGCUUGGAAAUUGAUAAGGUCUAGAGGCUCUACAAUUCCUAUCACCGUUAAUUCAAGCCUUGCAGGCAAUAUAAUGCUUUCUUCUAGAUGAUCAGUGAAGUAAACUUAGAGUUGUUUGUUCUGAAGCAUGAACCAAAUGGAGGUUUUGGGGGCUUCUGAGCCUUUUCAUCAUGCCAACAUCAUUCUCUAUUGCUUCAAUCUGUGAGUAACAGGUAAUAUAAUAAUGUCAGUGAUUCAGUUUUUCUGGGACCUUGCUGAAUGUGAUACUCUUUAACUAAAGAAGCAUACUCUUUCAUUUCCAUAUUCUUACCUCCCUCUCUAGAAGUCCAUUUUCCUCUUUCAGCAUAAUUUCCUGUUAAGAGUAUUAUCGUGUAGAACAAUCCAACAUAAAUUAUCCUUCAGUAUUUAAUUAUAUCAAUACUCAUAAAAUUGUGAAGAACCAAAAUGUUCCUUCAUUUAUUUCUUCACUAUUCAUUAAUUAAGAAAAACUUAGUACUUCUAAAUUGUUAAAUAGCAACAGUGUGAUUAUAGCGCAGCCCUAAUUAAAGAAAAAAAAAAUUACAUUUUGGUAUGAUAUUUGAUAUACCAAUAAAGUACUACAAGUGAUUUUUGGUUUGAUUUCCCUUACUUCCAUACAGCCUUCAAUAAAGGAUUAUGAGAGAUUGAGGAGUUAGGAUACCAUAAUAUGGAAGCAGCAUUAGGAACUUCUCUAUCACAGUAUCUUUUGGUUUUCCAAUCUAACGAGAGCUAAAGUUAGAAGAACACUUCUUAAGUCGACAAACAUGCAACUUUCUAUGUCAGGAAUUGCAGGGGAAAUUUUUCUUGCAAUUUUGUACUAGGAGGUCAAACUUUUUGAUUCAGUUACAGGUGAAAGUGGAGACCUCAAAAUUUUAAGCAGGGUUUAAAUUAAUUGCAUACCUUCUUGUGGAGAACCUUUAUAGACUCCAACAUCAGUUCUGUAAUAUUAGCUACCCAAGUCAAUUUCGUCUAUUGUUUGGAUUUUUGGUUAUCGAUGUCCCUCAUGUGCCAAUUUGGCCACAAUGUAGCAUUUGUUCUAAUAUCAUUUGGCAGGAAACUCUACCCAAUAUGUUGAACUGUUACGGAGAAAUCUGCCUAAGAGAUCUACAAAAAAGGCUUGAAAUUUCAAAGCAAUGGCAGCAAUAAAAAUGAUACUAAAAUAAGAAUAUCUUAUAUUUUCAGAUGAGUGGUCUUCACGAUAGCCACAUUGAGUUGCAAAUUGAUAGAGGCUGUCAUUAUGUAGAAAUUAUAUGAUCAAAAGUAUGAACAAGAAAGAUGCAGACCAGUAGGUAGCCUAAAUAAUAGAUGCAAAAUACGUCCAUUCCUAUUUUUAGAGGUUGCAUUGGUCUUGUUUACCAAUUUACAAAGUAGUUGCUGCUGCUAGCUCCAUUGUCUAUUAAGUCAUUUUGCAUAUCUAUAUAUGCCUAUAAAACAUAGGAUUAAACACUUGUCGAGUUAGAAUAGUAAAAUGAACAUAGCUCAAAGCAAGGUGUUAUUUUCUGAGAUAGACCAACUUAGUCUUAGAUGUUAAAGGCUGCAACAGUUGUAUUAUAUCUUAUGAGUUAUGCCAUAUAUAUUCUCUUGAUUUUAAGAUGGAACACAGUUUUCGUUUCCUACAAACCAUAAAAAUCCAGGGACUUUAAGACGUGGGAGAUGAUAGUAUGGCAGCAGACAUUUUGAUAUAUUAUAUAUUUUACCUGCUUUCUUGUUCUCAACAUAUGAAGUUGAUGUUGCUUCUUAAAGCCAUCUAUAGUAAAGGUUGCAAAGCAUACUCCAGAAUAUGGGACUAUACUAGUCAAUUUCCAACAAAAUCAUGAUAGUUUUAAAACCAGGGGUUUUAUUUUCUAGCCUUGGUCAAAAAUCACCUGUGAAGCUUGAUUCUCUCAAUUAUGAGUGGGUCCAUAGGCAAAUUGUAUGUCAUGGUAAAUAAGCACAGUAUGGAUUGAUGAGUGGAACCGAUAUAACUAUUUAUGUGGAUAUUCAAUAAUGCCGAUGGUAAUAGGCAGCUGCAUAUAUACAGUUUAAUGCAGACAUGGUGUAUAACACAAAUUUGAGGUAUCACUAGAAGUAGCAUAACAAACCUUUCUAGCUCUGGUUUGUGUCAGUGCAGCAUCAAAGUGAUUUUCCAAUUUGAUAAGAUCGGUCAAGCUAAGGUGCUCACGAUUUGGACCCUCAAGCUGC
rnacentral:misc_RNA from 1 species